GCCGGGUGCGUGGUGCGUGCCUGUAGCCCCAGCUACUCGGGAGGCUGAGGCUGGAGGAUUUCUUGAGUUCAGGAGUUCUGGGCUGUGGUGCACUAUGCCGAUCGGGUGUCUGCACUAAGUUCAGCAUCAAUAUGGUGACCUCCAGGGAGCGGGGGACCACCAGGUUGCCUAAGGAGGGGGUGAACUGUCCCAGGUCGGAAACAGAGCAGGUCAAAACCCCCGUGCUGAUCAGUAGCGGGAUCCCGCCUGUGAAUAGCCACUGCACUCCAGCCUGGGCAACAUAGCAAGACCCCGUCUCUA
ensembl:misc_RNA Metazoa_SRP Metazoan signal recognition particle RNA